ACGAACGCUGGCGGCGUGCCUAACACAUGCAAGUCGAGCGGAGGGGAAAGGAGCUUGCUUCUUGAACCUCAGCGGCGGACGGGUGAGUAACACGUGGGUAACCUGCCCUUGAGAGGGGGAUAACAGGUCGAAAGGCCUGCUAAUACCGCAUAACGCUAAGAAGCUGCAUGGCGUCUUAGCCAAAGGUUAAUUCCGCUCAAGGAUGGGCCCGCGGCCCCAUUAGCUAGUUGGUGAGGUAAUGGCUCACCAAGGCGACGAUGGGUAGCCGGCCUGAGAGGGUGGUCGGCCACACUGGGACUGAGACACGGCCCAGACUCCUACGGGAGGCAGCAGUGGGGAAUAUUGCGCAAUGGGGGAAACCCUGACGCAGCGACGCCGCGUGAGCGAUGAAGGCCUUCGGGUUGUAAAGCUCUGUCUUCCCUGACGAUAAUGACGGUAAGGGAGGAGGAAGCCACGGCUAACUACGUGCCAGCAGCCGCGGUAAUACGUAGGUGGCGAGCGUUGUCCGGAAUUACUGGGCGUAAAGGGUGCGUAGGCGGCUCUUUAAGUGGGAUGUGAAAUCCCUGGGCUCAACCCAGGAACUGCAUUCCAAACUGGGAGAGCUAGAGUGCAGGAGAGGAAAGCGGAAUUUCCCAGUGUAGCGGUGAAAUGCGUAGAGAUUGGGAGGAACACCAGUGGCGAAGGCGGCUUUCUGGACUGUAACUGACGCUGAGGCACGAAAGCGU
rnacentral:rRNA from 1 species